AGCGAACGCUGGCGGCAGGCCUAACACAUGCAAGUCGAACGAACUCUUCGGAGUUAGUGGCGGACGGGUGAGUAACACGUGGGAACGUGCCUUUAGGUUCGGAAUAACUCAGGGAAACUUGUGCUAAUACCGAAUGUGCCCUUCGGGGGACAGAUUUAUCGCCUUUAGAGCGGCCCGCGUCUGAUUCGCUAGUUGGUGAGGUAAAGGCUCACCAAGGCGACGAUCAGUAGCUGGUCUGAGAGGAUGAUCAGCCACAUUGGGACUGAGACACGGCCCAAACUCCUACGGGAGGCAGCAGUGGGGAAUCUUGCGCAAUGGGCGAAAGCCUGACGCAGCCAUGCCGCGUGAAUGAUGAAGGUCUUAGGAUUGUAAAAUUCUUUCACCGGGGACGAUAAUGACGGUACCCGGAGAAGAAGCCCCGGCUAACUUCGUGCCAGCCGCCGCCGUAA
rnacentral:rRNA from 1 species